rnacentral:rRNA from 1 species
CCUACGGGAGGCAGCAGUGAGGAAUAUUGGUCAAUGGUCGGGAGACUGAACCAGCCAAGCCGCGUGAAGGCUGAAGGUACAGAGUAUCGUAACCCUCUUUUGUCAGGGAACAAAGGCGGGGACGUGUCCCCGGCUGAGUGUACCUGAAGAAAAAGCAUCGGCUAACUCCGUGCCAGCAGCCGCGGUAAUACGGAGGAUGCGAGCGUUAUCCGGAUUUAUUGGGGUACAGGGGUGCGCAGGCGGUCUGUUAAGUCAGCGGUCAAAGCCCGGGGCUCAACCCCGGCAGGCCGUUGAAACUGGCAGUCUCGAGUUGGCGAGAGGUAUGCGGAAUGCGCGGUGUAGCGGUGAAAUGCAUAGAUAUCGCGCAGAACUCCGAUUGCGAAGGCAGCAUGCCGGCUCCACACUGACGCUGAGGCACGAAAGCGUGGGUAUCGAACAGGAUUAGAUACCCUUGUAGUC